GAUGUUCCUAGAAGAACUGCAAGUGUGGCUGCUGUAUCUCAUGUGUGUUAGGAGGUGGCAAAGAGGAAGGAGACAUGUCUACCCUCAGGGGUCUGACCUGUGAACAUCUGAAUGAUUAAUAGUCUAACUCC